rnacentral:rRNA from 1 species
AUGGGCUCUAGCCAUCGUCCUACUCCUACCACCCUAGUCUUCCUGGUGUUGCUGCUAUGCCUCUUCUAUGCGCCGCGCUGGGCCUUCUCGCUCUCCUUCAACCUCAACUUCUCCGACCCCAUGGCCUUUUCGUCGAUCGCCAUCGCCAGCGAUGCAUUCGCCAAUACGUCAACCCUCGAGCUCACAAAUAUUACACGUGACCCAGAUAUUCAGUACAGCGCCGGCCGGGCAUGGUACGCGCAGAAGGUGCCGCUAUGGAGCAGCGCCACCGGCGAGAUGGCCAGCUUCACCACCACCUUCUCCUUUCGAAUCACUCCGGAAAGCCUCCCGAAUACAGGCGAUGGGAUGACCUUCUUCCUCGGGCAUUUCCCUUCCAAGAUCCCGGAAUACAGCAAGGGGGGCGGCCUCGGCCUCCUCCCCAGGUACACUAACGGAACAGGCGACAGCCGGAUAGUUGCGGUGGAGUUCGACACUGCUUACAAUGUGGAAUGUGACAACAACGGGAACCAUGUCGGCAUUGACGUCAACUCCCUCAACUCAACGGCGUUCACAGACACGACGACCUCGCCGGGAAAGAACCUCACGUCGCUCCAUCUUAUGGAAGCCACGGUGAAGUACCACAAUGAUUCCAAGAUGCUGGCCGUCGAUCUCGUCAUCGGCGAUGCCCUGUACCAGGUCAAUGCAACCGUCGAUCUGAGAGAAUACUUACCGGAGGAGGUCGCUGUUGGCUUCUCCGCAGCGACUGCCCGGUAUGUUGAGCUGCACCAGAUACUGUCAUGGUCAUUCACCUCCACUCUGGUACCAAUUCCAACCAGCAGCAACAACAACAACAAAAGGUUGGUACCAAUUUUAGCAUCUGUCCUAGUUCCUCUGCUUUUUUUCUCUGUCUGUGCGGUGGUGGUACUGGGUUGGCGGCGACACAACAAAGCAAGAGCAAACGAGGACAGCGAAGAAGAGUGCAUCGACAGAGCUGAUCUCGAGAGAGGUGUGGCUGCCGACGGCCCCAGACGGUACAUGUACCACGAGCUUGUCGUCGCAACGAGCAAUUUCGCGGAGGAUGAGAAGCUUGGGCGAGGCGGCUUCGGGAACGUUUACCGGGGUCAUCUCACACUCACACUCGCAAGUGGCAUCGGUGGUGACCAAGACCCUCGUGCGGUGGCGGUGAAGGUGCUGUCUGCAGAUUCAUCGUCCCAGGGGAGGAAGGAGUUUGAAGCAGAGGUGAGGAUCAUCAGCAGACUGAAGCAUCGCAACCUUGUUCAGUUGCUGGGUUGGUGCGACAGCCGCAAGGGGCUCCUGCUUGUCUACGAGCUAGUCACGGAGGGCAGCCUAGACAGGCACCUCUACAGCAACGACGGCAGCUAUCUGACAUGGCCACAGAGGUACAACAUCAUACUCGGCUUGGGAUCCGCGUUGCGCUACCUCCACGGAGAGUGGGAGCAGUGCGUCGUCCAUGGCGACAUCAAGCCCAGCAAUAUCAUGCUUGACUCAUCGCUCAGCACCAAGCUCGGGGACUUCGGGUUGGCCCGGCUGAUCGACCACGGCGCCGGGUUAAUGCACACCACCAAGGCCGUGUUCGGCACCGUGGGGUACAUUGACCCGGAGUUCGUCAACACACGCCGGCCCGGCACUGAGUCCGACGUGUACAGCUUUGGCGUCGUCCUCCUGGAGAUCGCCUCCGGCCGUCGGCCGGUAAUCGAGACCGCUGAGAGAUCCUUCACGCUGCUCAGCUGGGUGUGGAACCUGUACGGGAGGGACGCGAUCCUUGACGCGGCCGACGAGCGGCUGAAGGGCGACGAGACGGACGAGCGAUGGAUGGAGCGGGUACUCGUCGUCGGGCUCUGGUGCGCGCACCCGGACCGGAGCGAGCGGCCAUCCGUGGCGCAGGCCAUGCACGUCCUGCAGUCCGACGAGGCGAGGCUGCCGGCGCUCCCACGGCACAUGUACAGGGCCGCACAGGAUCUUGCGUCGUACGGGUCUUUCUCCGUUGACAGCGCAGGCUCCGGUUGUGUUCGCUCUUCUUCGGUCAGCACCGGCAACACCACUGUUUCUUCCGAGUCGUCCUCGACCGCGCUGCUACGUCAUUCCAAGGAUCAAGCUACGUAG